CUUGUGUGGCGGCUGACGUGAACGUGACGCAUAAACAGGGCGGAGCUAGUGAACCGUGUUUGUUCCUAGCCCGGUUUAAGCAGGCUUGAAUCGGGUGGCCCAGACGUACCCGCUGAGACACGGUGCAAGCUGCUUCCUCUGCCUUGGGUGUCCUGGGAGUGGGCAGCGCCCGGAGCAAAGCGUUCCUGACAGAAGGGGGUGGGGAGAGGAGCUGCAAAUGCGGUCUUGAGGGUCUCUCCAUCCACACCGGUGGAGUGGCUUAGCCAGGUGAGAAGGAAGCUGAAGAGGACAAGGAAAGAUAUGUCCCAGGAGAUCCUGCAAGCCUCUGGUGCUUUGGAUACCAAGCAGAGGGCGUGGAGGAUUACACUUGAGGACAGAAUGGACAGG